rnacentral:rRNA from 1 species
AUUGAACGCUGGCGGCAGGCCUAACACAUGCAAGUCGAACGAGGGGGGGACGGGAGUGUAAUGUAGGGGAAUCUGCCCGAUAGAGGGGUAACACUUCUGGAAACUGGGGCAAAUACCGCAUAAUAUGGGAUGAACCCAUAUGGGAUUAGCUAGUAGGUGGGGUAAAGGCUCACCUAGGCGACGAUCUCUAGCUGGUCUGAGAGGAUGACCAGCAACACUGGAACUGGGACACGGGCCAGACUCCUACGGGAGGAAGCAGUGGGGAAUAUUGCACAAUGGGCGCAAGCCUGAUGCAGCCAUGCCGCGUGUAUGAAGAAGGCCUUAGGGUUGUAAAGUACUUUCAGCGAGGAGGCGUUACCCGCAGAAGAAGCACCGGCUAACUCCGUGCCAGCAGCCGCGGUAAUAC